AGUUACGAACACGCCACCCUGAACAAGCCCGACCCUGUCUGAUCUCGGAAGCUAAGCAGGGUCGAGCCUGGUUAGUACUUGGAUGGGAAACCAUCUAGGAAGAGCAGGUGUUGUAGGUG
rnacentral:rRNA from 1 species